ensembl:misc_RNA Metazoa_SRP Metazoan signal recognition particle RNA
GCCGGGUGUGGUGGCCUGCACCUGUAAUCCCAGUUACUUGGGAGGCUGAGGCAGGAGUAUCACUUGAACCCAGGAGGCAGAGGUUGCUGUGAGCUGAGAUUGGGCCACUGCACUCCAGCCUGGGCAACAGAGUGAGACCCUGUCCCAA